rnacentral:rRNA from 1 species
ACGAACGCUGGCGGCGUGCUUAACACAUGCAAGUCGAACGGAAAGGCCCUGCUUGCAGGGUCCUCGAGUGGCGAACGGGUGAGUAACACGUGGGUGAUCUGCCCUGCACUUCGGGAUAAGCCUGGGAAACUGGGUCUAAUACCGGAUAGGAGCCAUUUUUAGUGUGAUGGUUGGAAAGUUUUUUUCGGUGUAGGAUGAGCUCGCGGCCUAUCAGCUUGUUGGUGGGGUAAUGGCCUACCAAGGCGGCGACGGGUAGCCGGCCUGGGAGGGUGGACGGCCACCUUGGGACUGGGGUACGGCCCAGGCUCCUACGGGAGGCAGCAGUGGGGAAUGUUGCUCAAUGGGCGCAAGCCUGAUGCGGCGACGCCGCGUGGGGGAUGGCGACCUUCGGGUUGUAGACUCCUUUCGCUAGGGACGAAGCUUUUUGUGACGGUACCUAGAUAAGAAGCACCGGCUAACUACGUG